GAAGUAAAAGUCGUAACAAGGUUUCCGUAGGUGAACCUGCGGAAGGAUCAUUAAAAAGUAUCGGGACCCCCAUAUCCGGUCCCCGAGCUCCAAACCCCUCCGAGUACCCAUCCAUGUUGCUUCCCCAGGUCAGCAGCCAUUGCUGCCUGUCCGACCAUGCCCGGUCACAGGACGGAGGUGCCUGGGGAGGGGCUCAAACAGAAACUCUGGUACACACAGGCUGUCUGAGUGGGCCAUGUGCCCUGCAAGAUUGAACGAGUUAAAACUUUCAACAACGGAUCUCUUGGCUCUCGCAUCGAUGAAGAACGCAGCGAAAUGCGAUAAGUAAUGUGAAUUGCAGAAUUCAGUGAAUCAUCGAAUCUUUGAACGCACAUUGCGCCCUUCGGCAUUCCUUAGGGCAUGCCUGUUCGAGCGUCACUAACAACCUUCUCACGGAUCCCGUGGUAGUGGCGGAAGCUCCACUGUGCCCCUCUGGGCUGCGGUGCAGCUCCGCUGAAAUGCAUAAGCAGGACAAGUGGGCCUCAGCGAGUGACUUAGUAAGUGUCUUGAAGACGUAGAGCAGUCAGCAGCUAGGCCAUGCCCUGCCCACCAGGACUCCCCCCCCCAUCUGGUGUGAACUCUUGGUUGACCUCGGAUCAGGUAGGCAUACCCGCUGAACUUAAGCAUAUCAAUAAGCGGAGGAAA
rnacentral:rRNA from 1 species